UCUACACCUGCACUGUGGAGAGCUGCAUCACUGCCUGUAGGGCUGCACGAUUAAUCGAAUGCGAUUAAUUGCAUUUGUCAUGCACAUUUAGUGAGUGUAGCUGGUUCUGUGAUUAGCAGUAAAUCUCCAUCACCUGUUUUCAGGUGGAGCAGCAUUUACUACACAGAGCUAUAGUUCUGUCAUUUUAUCUUCAUGGGACCGAGAUGGCUUAUGGUGUCCGUGAGGAGCAGAGAUUGAGAGAUGUAGCCUACAGAAGAGUUUAAAAGUUUCUUAUUGCUGGUUUGAUUUCGAGACUCAACUUGCUCAUUAACAAUGCAGCGACAUGUGGCCUCUUGUCCAGUCUGCUGUUUUGUGAGUCCGCCUACUCACAAAGAUGCUUCACUCAGCUGCUGACCUUGGCUUGCCCUGCCCUACAAAAGCAACAAAGAUGAAUGCUUAUUUGUGGUCUGACCAAUGAGUCCCAUGCCUAUAGCUCACAAGACUUUAUCACAUUUGAAAGAGUUUGAAAUUCAAUCAGUGCAGAAUGAAUUUUCCAAGCAGAGAAUUACAAGAAGAAGUCGAUAACACCGCCACAAUCAGCUUUUACACAGAGGAUUGGGCUCAGGUGAAUAGCAUGGGACUUCUCUCUAGGCUGACAAACAGACAGGACCAUACAGCACACCUGUGGGACUCGGGAAGACCACUUCAUCCCAUUGUGAACAUGACCAAUGAAAAGAAAUAUCCUAUCAAGCAGGCUUUUGUCUGUGCGAUGCUAUAGGAGAGUGGUAUUUGUCUGGCUCUCUCAUCGCAGUGAAGCUAGCUCAAUUACAUUAUCUUGUGCUAAAGGUAUAGUUCCAGGGCAUUCUGUGGGCAAUCAAUCAAUUAAUCAAUCUUUCAGUGUUCAUCUUGAUGUUCUUUCCCAGGUCUGGAAUCUCUGAAAGCACAGAAUGCCAUACCCACUCCUAAAUCUGUUCCUGUGCAUGGACAAGAGUAGGACAUUGAAGUACUUGCUAACAUAGGAAAGUUACAAGUUCUUGAAAUCAGAUUAAACAUCAAAUUAAAAAGUUGAUUUACGAAUGUAAAAGUUUAUUUCAUUUUAUAAAUAAUAAUGAAAUAAAAUAAUACAAACAAUAAAAUUAUUUUAAUUAAAUU